rnacentral:ribozyme from 13 species
AGAAGAAGGGUUGUACAAUCCAAAAGUCAAAGAAUUAAAUCUCUCUUUGAAAGAUCCUCUUCUUCCUCUCUUGUCUUUCCCGUUUCCUUUCUCUUUCUCUUCUUCUUUC